rnacentral:misc_RNA from 1 species
AACCUUACUCGUACCAAGAACAAAUUCUCAAACUCUUGACUUGUGUGCUGUGAAGAAUAAAUAUCUAAGGGGAUAGCAUCAUUGUUUUAUAGUAAAUCGAUCAAUCUUAGGCUAAAAGAGCAAUUAGCUUAAUUACACCUCUGAAAAUGGAAUAAUUUUGUAUAAAAGUGCGAAGCUAUUGAAAAUCUAUCACGCUUGAAAUAUCCGGAACAUGUGUUAGUGUUCAUAUCUUAUCAGUUGUAAUAUUUCACUUUGGUUAUAGAAAAAGCGGUCAUUAUUCAGUAUGAGAGAAUCAUACAACCUUCAAAGCGAAGAGCCCGGCGAAAGAAACUCCGACAAAGGCGAAAAGGUCGACUGGUGGUGGGGAAUCCUCCUUGUGUUAAUCAUUGCCGUUCUAAUAGCUCUAGUCAUCGUUGGUUUCUUCGAUUUGACCGGGACAUCAAAUUUCGAUUCAGACACCGAAUAUUUCAGAAGAUUACGAGGAGGAAGCCCCAAAUUGCCUAAUCCCAUUCCUCCUUUCAAAGUGGAAAGCGUACGGGAAGUUAUUGAAACCAUUUCCAAAGGAAAUGGACUAUACAACAUUGAAUACGAUAUUCAAAAUCGAUCGGUUCUGCUCUGGGAUUCGAACUUAUCUGAUAAUUGUAAUGGCAUUCAACAUAUGGCUAUAAGGGUAAGCGCGAAGAAUGUAACGAGCAAUCGUACUAUCCUUGUAAGUGGCUCUUUCGAUGAAAGUGAAGAUGGGGCAAAAGAAAACGGUGUCGCCCAUGCUAUAAUACAGUCUCUGAUUGCCAUAACCAGAGAAUCAAUAGCAUUACGCCAUCCUGUGGUGCUUUUAUUAAAUAGAAACUUAGCCAACUACACUCAGAGCGUAGAAGGAUUCAUGGGUCAAAAACACUGGGCCAGGAAUAUAUCAGUAUUUAUUAAUAUCAAUUCUAUCCCAGGCGGGAGGGGGAAUGUUAUCCACACUAGAGCAGAUGCUACGUGGCUGUUAAAAGUAUAUUAUGGAUCAUUCCGCCACUCGCAUUUAUGCUUGAUUUGCGAUGAAAUCUCAAAGUCAAAUUUCAUGCAAAUCGAGUCGAAUUCUAGACAUUAUAGUAUACCUAGAAACCUUAAAGUUUGGUAUUUUGUAGGUUUGGACCUAACGUACGCUUACGGUGACAAUUCAAUAGCUCUAUCAAGAGAAAGUGAAGUACAAAACUAUAUGGAUGAUAAUAUUUUAUCACUCAUUCGGAAUGUUGAUAGUGCGACCGAAAUGGACGAAAACUAUGAUUCACGAAAUGUUGUGGAGUCAAUAUUUUUCGAUUUCUUUGGUGUUUUCAUGGUAAUAUACAGCGAAACGGAUGGAAUUAUAAUAAACGUGGUCGUCAGCUUUGCUGCCCUCGCCACAAUGGUCACCUCCAUGUGGUUAAUGCAACAAUGGGCCGUUGUUGCUGCUUCUGUAAUUUGGUUUCAGCUUGUAAAGUCAUUCGCCAUUCAACUUACAUCACUCAUAGUCGGGGGUGGAUUUGCGAUUUUCAUGGCUUAUCUGUAUGACUCCUACAAAACCUUAUUGACUUGGGCACCGAAGCAUUGGAUGGUGUUUGCGAUCUACUUUUGCCCUUUCCUCUUCAUAAUGUGUAUUUUCCCUUCGUUGUACUUGAACUGGAAGAAAUACAGAGCCAUACCACUUCGAUUUGGGGUAAUGCUCUUCCUUCACGUCAAUUGCAUCCUGUUCAUCAUAGCCAUUUUGACCCUAACAGGAUUAUCAGUGAAGACAGCAUUUGUGAUUGUUUCGGGCAUUGCAUUUUACACAGUUUCAUUAAUGGUUGUUCUGGCAUUUAAACUUUAUAAAAAAGUAUCAUUACAGUAUAUUUAUGGAUAUUCCCCAUUUUCGUUGGGCAAAUUCUCCCGAUCGCUUUUGUUACGUACCUGAUGCUAAUAUUUUACUCGGUUUACAUCCCUGUUUCAAGCAUUCCAGGGGCAGCAAGAAGGGUUCAAUUUCUUCUUGCGCUCUCAGCUAUAGGAUUUUCAAUGCUAAUGUUCGGAUUCUUGAUACCAAUACUGGCAAUUUUCCGCAAAUCGAAAACAAUGCUGACAGGUUUUGUAAUCAUUACGCUUAUAUUCUUGAUCCUGAUAUUUACCAAUGUGUUUGCGGCAUAAUAAUCCGAAUCUCUUAUAAGCAGGGAGAAUUUUC